rnacentral:lncRNA from 1 species
GCCUUAUCAGAGUGCCUGAGCCAAAGAGGGAACUGGAGAGUGAGCACUUUCCAACCACUUCAUCUGAACAACAGACAGAUUGGCAGGAAAGGCCUGUCAGCCCUUUGCCUCUGCCACCCAGGCAGCCCCCCAUCCGUGCAAAAAACCCGGUUGAGGAAGGGGAAGUUGGAGAUGACAGAGCAUUCCUGUUCCUGAAAGGGCCCCAUCCUGAGAGCGUGGACAUGGUGAAGCAGUGUGUCAAUCAGACAUCCCUGCCUCAGCUCCUUAUUUAGAUCCAGCCUGCAGCAGCUUCAAGAUCUGCAGAGAGGGAGUCCCUGUUUUGGGGUGAGAACCUGAUUGGCCUCAGCAGGAUCUGUCACCCACACAAUGACAUCUUUGUGGUGAAG